AUGAAUCCGCACCACAGGAAGGUUCACUUGCCGGUGCCAUCUUUCGCCACAGCGACGCUGCUCCUGCUUCCCCUCGCGCUCCUCGCCGCCGUGCUCGUCGCCGUCUACCACAACGAGUUCGCCCUGCAGUCCUAUCUGGCCCGCCCCGCCUGCCCGAGCAACGCCAGCGACACCAGCCUCACGGGGCGGCACGUCGCCGUGCGGGUGGCCCCGGAUUUCCGGCUGCUCAUCGGCGUGCUGACGCUCCCGGGCCUGUACGAGCGGCGGCACCUGAUGCGCACGGUGUACGCGCUCCAGCAGCCGAACCUGACGGCGCACGUCGACGUCCGGUUCGUCUUCUGCCGGCUGGCCUCGGAGGAGCAGCGCGUGCUGGUGGCGCUGGAGGCGAUGCAGCACGGCGACGUGGUGGAGCUGGACUGCCCGGAGAACAUGGACAACGGCAAGACGCACGCCUACCUCUCCAGCGUCCCGGCGCUCUUCGGCGACCGGGCGUACGACUUCGUGAUGAAGACCGACGACGACACCUUCCUCCGCCUGCCGCAGCUGGUGGAGUCCCUGAACCGGGCGCCCAGGGAGGACCUGUACUACGGGUGCAUGGUGCCCUGCGACGUGGUCCGCGCGCAGGAGAACGAGUACAUGUCCGGCAUGGGGUAUGUCAUCUCGUGGGACCUCGUGGAGUGGAUCGUGGCGGCCGCGGAGCAGAUCAGGAACCACACGGUCGGGCCGGAGGACAGGCUGGUCUCCACGUGGUUCAGAGGUGCCGGGAAGGGCAAGAACCGGGUGGACACGAAGCCGGCCAUGUACGGCUUUCCGGAUCGCGCGGACCAUUGCGCGCACGAGCUCGUGCACGACACCAUCGCCGUGCACAAGCUCAAGAACAACGGGAGGUGGGCGACGACGCUCAAGUACUUCAACUUCACCGCGGGGCUCCAGCCGUCCAAGUUCACGAGCAUGGAUUGA
rnacentral:rRNA from 1 species